AGCGAACGUUUGCGGCGGGCCUAACACAUGCAAGUCGAACGGGGGGGCAACCACCAGUGGCGCACGGGGGCGUAACACGUAGGGAAUCAACCCCUAGGUUCGGGACAACGCUUCGAAAGG
rnacentral:rRNA from 1 species